CUUGGAUAUUAAUUAAAGAUCGGCUCGAUUAACUCGAGAGACGUUCACAUAAUGAAUGGAGAUAGUUAACUCGAAACAUGUUUGACUACUGUGAAGAUUCAACUCGAUAUUUCUUCGCAUCGAUCGCGAGUAAGGGAAGCAUCGAUAAAGAGUGUGAAGAGAAAAACUAUCUAAUUAGUCGAGAUCGAAUCCAAAGGCGCUCAAAAAUUCGAAUAAAGGGACAAUAAUAAAUGCACUAGCAAAAUAACAUCGUUUAAAAAGCCGUCUAUACAUACGAGCGAGUGCAGUGCGUGGUAUGUAAUUCCGUUUGCCAUCAUUGUUUCUUUCAUGUAUUCGCGGCUACGUGUAAUUAAUCAUAAUGGAUAGAGUUAUCGAUCCCUUCGAAGGGUGUUUCUUUGUUGACGUAGGCUCUUGUGCGCGCAUAAUGAUCUUUCUAACAAAAAUUAUCUAAACACCUUGGAAAGUAACUAUUCUACGAAUAAACAUUCCAUGAAAAGAAUCACCCAACAAAAUGAAACACUCUAUAAAAAUGUUGAAAGAAGAUAUUUCGUGUGAGCGGAGAAUCUGUUACAUUGUAUAUAUCUUUCAUUGGAUUUAAUCAUUCCGAAAAAAUAUACAGAUUGAAAUAUAUUCGCGUUCCAUAAUUCAGGGAAACUGAUCAAUUCCUCUGGACACUUACUGUCAAAACUGACAAACAGUUCGGGCAUAUCUUCGACAGAGACCAUACUACGAUAGUCCAAUCGAGGAGCCGUUGUCGAAGUUUUGCUACCUCGACUACUGUCCACGCUGCUGCUACCUGACGAUGUCAAUGGUUGCUGUCUGAUGAAUGUGCCCACGGAAGACCGCCUGAAAGAAAGUGAUAAUGUUAGAGAAUAGGCACAAAGAUGUUUUCAAAAUUGCGUUUCAAAAUCACGAGUACACGAGAUUCUCUGACUUUCGUGUUCCCUGUAAUUUCGAAGCAAUGUACACUGAUCAAUAUACAAUAUGGUAAAGAGCAAUUAAAUCUUAAGGGAAACAACAACAUUCAAGAUAAAUGUUAAAAUUGUAUCCAACGUGUAUGCAUCGUGAAAUAAAGUUCAAUGACUGCUCAGGGAAUAUUAAAACGCUGUGUUUUUGAUUGAUCGGUGAAUCGUGUGUUGUUUGUAAGCGAUACACAUUAUUCGGUCUUGGUGUAGUUUCUGAAAAAAAUGAUGGUAAGUUUACCUGAAAAGCGGGAAAACGGAGGAAGAAUGUUCUUUCUCAAUCUUUGAGAAAGAUUUAAAAAAAAAUAUAAACAAAUAAAUAAAAUGAAAGAUAGAUGAAGAGUGUUGUUCCUGAGAAGCUCGAAACAGUGAAAUUUAUGAAAAACUAGUACAAUUAUACUUAUAUAUAUAUCGUUUGUUCAUUAAACAACUUAUAAUGAAAGGAUGUUACAGAUGAAUGAAUGAUCUUAGAUGUAAUUAUGGGAAAAUAGCAAGAAACAAACUAGAAAUCUAAGAAGAUAAAUGUUUAAUAAAAAUAAUAUAAAAUUUAACAGCCAAUCAGAGAUAGGAAGAGAAAGAUAGAGAAAGAGCAAAAGAGAGCGGAACAAUAGUGGGCAAGAAAAAAAAAUAUAAGGACAAAGUGGAUUAAUAUGGAUACAAUAUAAACUUGCUGGUUCAUGACUGGGCCUAAACUCACCCUAUAAGCCCUCCUGGACCAGGUGAAAUCUGAGGAUUGCUGGAGUCCUGGGAGAGAGAGGAGGCGGUAAGCGGAGGUGUUCCUCCAGCUCUACCGCCCCCACCGCUCUCUUCGCUGGGAGUUUUAGCAAACAGGCCCGAGCUAAAGUCACUCACCAGGUUGAUCGGCGAGCUUAUAUCCACCACCAUUACAUAUUCUUUGUUAGUCACAUUGGAAACGAUAGUUAAACUUUAUUUUUAACACAGAUUUACCAUCACAGUCUGAUUGAUAAUACUGGUCUCAAAAUGAUAUAGAAUAUAUCUACAAUGCUAAUUAAUAAAAAAGUUUGAAAAAGAUGAAAAAUGGAAAAGCAAAAUUGAAAAAAACGGACUAUGAUGGUACAAGAUUAGAUUGAAGACAAGGACGUAAUUGGAACUGCCACACGUGCCCAUUCCUUUGAUUUCUUUACUCCAUUUAGAAAUUGAAAAAAGAUAUAUCCCAAAGCGCGUUUCGCAAAUGCAAUAAGCCGCUUGCUUCUACGCGCAAAUUUCUAAUAAAUAUUCUAUAUUAAAAUAAAUGAGGAUAUUCAUAAUAAAACUCGUUUCUAAGAACUAUAAAACGUUUUUAUUACGUAUGUGCGUGAUAUAAGCAAUUCGUUUCAUUAUGAAUAGCCUCAAGUACGCUAUAAAUAUUACUUUUAGUUCUAAAAAAUUUCAGCAGAAAGCAAUCACACGAAAAACAAACGUUACAUCAUAUAAAGGAGGCCAGACCAUUGAAAACCUUCCUUGUAUAUAAAAAGUAUGCAAAAUUGUUUUUUCAUUGAAUUACUCAUUUCUAACAUACACGAAUGAUAAAGUAAAACAUAAAAGCAUAUAUGAUUAAUUUUUGAAUAAAAUUAUUGUACCAUAUAAGAUACAAGAAAAUUUUUAUAAAAAUUUUAUGGACUUAUAAACAAGGAUAAUUAUUAUCACCUUGAGAAAACUUUGCUGAAAACUGAUGAAUGAUGAGAAUCCGCGCUAUUAGGAAGGCUCGAAACUUUAUCAGAUCCAGAUUUAUCAUCUUCUUUUUCACCAGUUAAUCCUUCCAUCCAUGACAAAGGAUAUGAUAAUCGUUUUAACAUCUGAAUAAUAAUUGUUAAACAAGAUAAGAAUUAGAUUAAAUGGAUAUCAAGUAUAUAAAUUUUAAUAUUACC